GUGGGGAAUCUUGCGCAAUGGGCGAAAGCCUGACGCCGCCAUGCCGCGUGAAUGAUGAAGGUCUUAGGAUUGUAAAAUUCUUUCACCGGGGACGAUAAUGACGGUACCCGGAGAAGAAGCUCCGGCUAACUUCGUGCCAGCAGCCGCGGUAAUACGAAGGGGGCUAUCGUUGCUCGGAAUUACUGGGCGUAAAGGGCGCGUAGGCGGACAGCUUAGUCAGAGGUGAAAGCCCAGGGCUCAACCUUGGAAUUGCCUUUGAUACUGGCUGUCUUGAGUUUGGGAGAGGUGAGUGGAACUCCGAGUGUAGAGGUGAAAUUCGUAGAUAUUCGGAAGAACACCAGUGGCGAAGGCGACUCACUGGCCCAAUACUGACGCUGAGGCGCGAAAGCGUGGGGAGCAAACAGGAUUAGAUACCCUGGUAGUCC
rnacentral:rRNA from 1 species